GAAUUUAAGGAUAGUUUGGCUCUGGUAUUUGCUACUUAUAGCUCACCAGGGUGGAUUUAGCUGACCUAGCUACCUGGGUUUGUAUCCUCUUCCUCUUUCAUCUCUUUAUCAGAAUUUCUCACAAAGCUGGUACUCAUUCAAAGAAAUGAACUUCCAAGAAAGAAAAUGGAUUUUCUUGGUCUGGUGUAUGAAAAACUGUGCUCUCAUACUAGAAUUAAGUCAAUAUGAAAACAAGUAGACCAACAAGGAGACAAUCUACUAGGGAGGCAG
rnacentral:snRNA from 1 species